UCUAACAAUCUUCCCUUUCUUCUCCGAAGAGUCGCUGGCACCACCACCACCAUCGUCCCUCGUGCCCAGCUCGUGCCCGCCACCACCACCGUCACUCCUCACUUUCUUCAAACACUGAUGUUGCUUUGGGGUUUUUUGCUUUGGGGUUGUCGACGAAAAGAAUGCUGUGAGCAUCAAACAUGUUUGUUAAUUUUCAGAUUCUUUUCAUGGGUUGUCUUGGUCCAUGGACGAGAGAUCGUUGAAAGAUGCGUUUUCUUCCUUUGGGGAGA